UGGCUACGUUCGGGAGGGAUAACCGCUGAAAGCAUCUAAGCGGGAAGCCUGCUUCGAGAUGAGGACUCCCACCCACUUGAUGGGGUAAGGCUCCCAGUAGACGACUGGGUUGAUAGGCCGGAUCUGGAAGCACGGUAACGUGUGGAGGUGACCGGUACUAAUAGGCCGAGGGCUUGUCCUCAGUUG
rnacentral:rRNA from 1 species